UAACUCUCUGAGAAACAGUUCUCGAACC
rnacentral:sRNA from 1 species